CCUACGGCGGCGCAGCAGUGGGGAAUAUUGGACAAUGGGCGAAAGCCUGAUCCAGCCAUGCCGCGUGUGUGAAGAAGGCCUUCGGGUUGUAAAGCACUUUCAGUGGGGAAGAAAGCCUUGGGGCUAAUACCCUCGAGGAAGGACAUCACCCACAGAAGAAGCACCGGCUAACUCCGUGCCAGCAGCCGCGGUAAUACGGAGGGUGCGAGCGUUAAUCGGAAUUACUGGGCAUAAAGCGCGCGUAGGCGGUCUGAUAAGCCGGUUGUGAAAGCCCCGGGCUCAACCUGGGAACGGCAUCCGGAACUGUCAGGCUAGAGUGCAGGAGAGGAAGGUAGAAUUCCCGGUGUAGCGGUGAAAUGCGUAGAGAUCGGGAGGAAUACCAGUGGCGAAGGCGGCCUUCUGGACUGACACUGACGCUGAGGUGCGAAAGCGUGGGUAGCAAACAGGAUUAGAUACCCGAGUAGUC
rnacentral:rRNA from 1 species